GACGCGAUUGUCAACGAGCACAACAGCAGAUAAAAAAGAGAUCGAGCUGAUAGCAUUCAGAGUGUCAGGGUUGUGAAGCAUCAAGGCAGCCGUUCCAGCCGAUGGAAUCACAGACUCAGUGAGAGGCUCUGAAGUCAAGACAUGUAAAAU